AUUGAACGCUGGCGGCAGGCCUAACACAUGCAAGUCGAGCGGGGUUUUCGGACCUAGCGGCGGACGGGUGAGUAAUGCGUAGGAAGCUGCCCGAUAGAGGGGGAUACCAGUUGGAAACGACUGUUAAUACCGCAUAAUGUCUACGGACCAAAGUGUGAGACCUUCGGGCCACAGGCUAUCGGAUGCGCCGAAGUGGGAUUAGCUAGUUGGUGAGGUAAUGGCUCACCAAGGCGACGAUCUCUAGCUGGUUUGAGAGGAUGAUCAGCCACACUGGAACUGAGACACGGUCCAGACUCCUACGGGAGGCAGCAGUGGGGAAUAUUGGACAAUGGGCGCAAGCCUGAUCCAGCCAUGCCGCGUGUGUGAAGAAGGCCUUCGGGUUGUAAAGCACUUUCAGCGAGGAGGAAGGGUGGUGUGUUAAUAGCACAUCAUUUUGACGUUACUCGCAGAAGAAGCACCGGCUAACUCUGUGCCAGCCGCCGCGGUAAGAC
rnacentral:rRNA from 1 species